rnacentral:lncRNA from 1 species
AUUUUGCUUCUUGUCUUGGCUGACGUCAUCAUCACACAACCAGUUUCUCAAGGUGAAACAUGAGUCAUCCUCUUCCUUCAUCUCUCUCACCCUGCAAAAACAAUAGUCAACCAUGCUCUGUCAAUUAUACUGCAGAAAUGUUGCUCGAAUGUCAUUCCUUCAUGUAUCUCCGCAUUCCCCUUGCCUUUCACGUACCUGGAACACAAGUGCCCAAUAAGUAUUUGUUGAUUAGUAAUUGCCCAAUGAACACUGUAAGAAGAAAAGAUGAAGAAAAGGAGAAAACAACGUAAGGAAAGGAAGGAGGGAGAUGGAAGGAAGGAAAGAGGCAGAUGUUUCCAAAGCAUGCUUUACAAAGACAUGAGCCAUUUUGUGGAUAACUGUAGCAUUGUUACCUUAUGUUUACUAGAGAAAAAAUAAAAUGAAUAACCAUAAUAACAAUGAUAAGUUAUUUUCCUUCCCAGUAUUUUUUCCUUGACAAUACCAAACUAAAAGUUUCAUUCUGGUUAUUACGAUCUCCAUUCUGGUUAUUAUGCCAUACAAAGAUGAACUCAUUGACAAAGAAAAAUGUCAAGAAUCUUCCCCUGAUGACAAAGUAUAGCCCGGAAACAUAACAGAAGGUCUGUGUUACCCUUUGUGGCACGGGGAUUUAUCAUCCCACUCCAAUACCCCCACCUAGGAGAGAACCUGUCAGCCUCUCCAGUAAUUUCUGCCACGAUGCUCACUGGGCCCUUACGUAGACUGACUUGCUUCUCUAUUGCUACUUAUCUUGUAUCUUUAAGGCCAUGCUAACUCGAUUGAAUUACAAGUCUUUGUAGGCAGUUGCUAUGCCUUAUAUGUUCUUUAAUUUUCCUAGUUCUUAUUGAUUGAUUUAUGUAUUCAGAAACUCUUUGUUGAGUGCCUGCUCUGUACCAGACACUGUGCAAGGCACUAUGGGUAUAACUGUGAAAAGAACAGAAAACAUAUCCAUUAUUCUGUGCAUCCUCACAGAGGCUGUAAAUAAAUACUGUUGACAUUAGUUAUGAUAAUUCCCAACCCUAAUUGUCUGGGCAGAGUCAUAAACAGUGAGAUUGUAGGCUGAAACUGACCUACUAAAUUGGAAUCCUACUUGAUGCAAAAUGACCUUGCCAGGCUGGUCAUCGGUGGAGCCUUGUGAUCUAUACAGAAUAUUGAGCAUUAGUCGCAGUAGCGAAGACACGGAAACAACCUAAGUGUUCACCAACAGAUGAAUGGAUAAAGCAAAUGUAGCAUAUAUACACAGUGGAAUACUAUUCAGCCUUAACAAAGAAGGAAAUCUGGCUAACUGCAACAACAUGGAUGAACCUGGAGGAUAUUAUAUAAGUGAAAUAAGCCAGGCACGGAAAAUUGUCUGCCCUAUUGCUCAACAAGAUAAAAUGUCUGGGCUGGUGGCUGGAGGCAGGAGGAAGAAUCUGGAGAGAGAGAGACUGUGGAAAAGGCAUAGAAAGAACAUAUUUCUUUAAGGGACUUAGGAACUUCAUUCUGCAAAUCUGUUUCCAAUGCCUGUUAAGUACAAAGCACUGUGUGGACAUGUUCCUAUUCUCAAGACGUUUGCUAUACAGUAGGAAGGAGAGGAGGGCCUGCUCUCUGCCAAACACUGUCCUAGGAGUUUUGCACACUCCAUUGAGUAUUCUCUAUAUUUUUAACAGCCCUGAGAGAGUCUGGAUCCAUUGCAGCCAUUUUGAAAUUAACAAAUAAUAAGGGAAGGCCAACAAGGACAGAUGUAUAAAAGUAUAAUGAAUCAUAACAAGAGCUUCAUCCUCCUGG